AGAUUAAGUUAUUAAGGGCGCACGGUGGAUGCCUUGGCACUAGAAGCCGACGAAGGACGUUACUAACGACGAUAUGCUUUGGGGAGCUGUAAGUAAGCUUUGAUCCAGAGAUUUCCGAAUGGGGAAACCCAGCACGAGUUAUGUCGUGUUAUCGAUAUGUGAAUACAUAGCAUAUCUGAAGGCAGACGCGGAGAACUGAAACAUCUUAGUACCCGCAGGAAGAGAAAGAAAAAUCGAUUCCCUGAGUAGCGGCGAGCGAAACGGGAAGAGCCCAAACCAACGAGCUUGCUUGUUGGGGUUGUAGGACACUCUAUACGGAGUUACAAAAGAACAGACUAGACGAAUCAUCUGGAAAGAUGAAUCAAAGAAGGUAAUAAUCCUGUAGUCGAAAGUUUGUUCACUCUUGAGUGGAUCCUGAGUACGACGGAACACGAGAAAUUCCGUCGGAAUCUGGGAGGACCAUCUCCCAAGGCUAAAUACUUUCUAGUGACCGAUAGUGAACCAGUACCGUGAGGGAAAGGUGAAAAGUACCCCGGAAGGGGAGUGAAAUAGAACUUGAAACCGUGUGCUUACAAGUAGUCAGAGCCCGUUAAUGGGUGAUGGCGUGCCUUUUGUAGAAUGAACCGGCGAGUUACGAUUUGAUGCAAGGUUAAGCAGUGAAUGUGGAGCCGUAGCGAAAGCGAGUCUGAAUAGGGCGUUGAGUAUUUGGUCGUAGACCCGAAACCAGGUGAUCUACCCAUGACCAGGUUGAAGUUCAGGUAACACUGAAUGGAGGACCGAACCGACUUACGUUGAAAAGUGAGCGGAUGAGUUGUGGGUAGCGGAGAAAUUCCAAUCGAACCUGGAGAUAGCUGGUUCUCUCCGAAAUAGCUUUAGGGCUAGCCUCAAGUGAUGAUUAUUGGAGGUAGAGCACUGUUUGGACGAGGGGCCCUUAUCGGGUUACCGAAUUCAGACAAACUCCGAAUGCCAAUCAAUUUAACUUGGGAGUCAGAACGCGGGUGAUAAGGUCCGUGUUCGAAAGGGAAACAGCCCAGACCACCAGCUAAGGUCCCAAAAUAUAUGUUAAGUGGAAAAGGAUGUGGCGUUGCCCAGACAACUAGGAUGUUGGCUUAGAAGCAGCCAUCAUUUAAAGAGUGCGUAAUAGCUCACUAGUCGAGUGACACUGCGCCGAAAAUGUACCGGGGCUAAACAUAUUACCGAAGCUGUGGAUUGUCCGUAAGGACAAUGGUAGGAGAGCGUUCUAAGGGCGUUGAAGCAUGAUCGCAAGGACAUGUGGAGCGCUUAGAAGUGAGAAUGCCGGUGUGAGUAGCGAAAGACGGGUGAGAAUCCCGUCCACCGAUUGACUAAGGUUUCCAGAGGAAGGCUCGUCCGCUCUGGGUUAGUCGGGUCCUAAGCUGAGGCCGAUAGGCGUAGGCGAUGGAUAACAGGUUGAUAUUCCUGUACCACCAUUAUUCGUUUUAAGCGAUGGGGGGACGCAGUAGGAUAGGCGAAGCGUACGAUUGGAUUGUACGUCCAAGCAGUGAGAUUGAGUGUUAGGCAAAUCCGGCACUCUUAAGAUUGAGCUGUGAUGGGGAGAGGAAAUUGUUUCCUCGAGUCGUUGAUUUCACACUGCCAAGAAAAGCCUCUAGCUAGAAUUGUGGUGCCCGUACCGCAAACCGACACAGGUAGUCAAGAUGAGAAUUCUAAGGUGAGCGAGCGAACUCUCGUUAAGGAACUCGGCAAAAUGACCCCGUAACUUCGGGAGAAGGGGUGCUCUUUAGGGUUAACGCCCAGGAGAGCCGCAGUGAAUAGGCCCAAGCGACUGUUUAUCAAAAACACAGGUCUCUGCUAAACCGUAAGGUGAUGUAUAGGGGCUGACGCCUGCCCGGUGCUGGAAGGUUAAGAGGAGUGGUUAGCUUCUGCGAAGCUACGAAUCGAAGCCCCAGUAAACGGCGGCCGUAACUAUAACGGUCCUAAGGUAGCGAAAUUCCUUGUCGGGUAAGUUCCGACCCGCACGAAAGGCGUAACGAUUUGGGCACUGUCUCAACGAGAGACUCGGUGAAAUCAUAGUACCUGUGAAGAUGCAGGUUACCCGCGACAGGACGGAAAGACCCCGUGGAGCUUUACUGUAGUCUGAUAUUGAAAUUCGGCACAGCUUGUACAGGAUAGGUAGGAGCCUGAGAUACGUGAGCGCUAGCUUACGUGGAGGCGUUGGUGGGAUACUACCCUCGCUGUGUUGGAUUUCUAACCCGCACCAUUUAUCAUGGUGGGAGACAGUGUCAGAUGGGCAGUUUGACUGGGGCGGUCGCCUCCUAAAGAGUAACGGAGGCGCUCAAAGGUUUCCUCAGAAUGGUUGGAAAUCAUUCAUAGAGUGUAAAGGCAUAAGGAAGCUUGACUGCGAGACUUACAAGUCGAGCAGGGUCGAAAGACGGACUUAGUGAUCCGGUGGUUCCGCAUGGAAGGGCCAUCGCUCAACGGAUAAAAGCUACCCCGGGGAUAACAGGCUUAUCUCCCCCAAGAGUUCACAUCGACGGGGAGGUUUGGCACCUCGAUGUCGGCUCAUCGCAUCCUGGGGCUGUAGUCGGUCCCAAGGGUUGGGCUGUUCGCCCAUUAAAGCGGUACGCGAGCUGGGUUCAGAACGUCGUGAGACAGUUCGGUCCCUAUCCGUCGUGGGCGUAGGAAAUUUGAGAGGAGCUGUCCUUAGUACGAGAGGACCGGGAUGGACAUACCUCUGGUGUACCAGUUGUCGUGCCAACGGCAUCGCUGGGUAGCUAUGUAUGGACGGGAUAAGUGCUGAAAGCAUCUAAGCAUGAAGCCCCCCUCAAGAUGAGAUUUCCCAACUUCGGUUAUAAGAUCCCUCAAAGAUGAUGAGGUUAAUAGGUUCGAGGUGGAAGCAUAGCGAUAUGUGCAGCUGACGAAUACUAAUCGAUCGAAGACGUAAUCAAAUU
rnacentral:rRNA from 1 species